rnacentral:pre_miRNA from 1 species
UGUGAUGUAGCCUAAUCUGUGUUUGUGAUGUAGUCUAUCAUCACAAACAUAGACUACAUCACAAACACAGAUUAGGCUACAUCACA